CAUAAACCUUGGGGUGUUCAUGACUGUCGCCACAAGGAAGAUGCUGGGGUCAUUUGUUCAGGUCCUGCUGUCACCACACUACCACCUGACGUCUCUACAACAUCCGCAGAUCUGACUACACAGGAAAUAAGAG